ACGUACACUCCUGCGGGAGGCAGCAGUGGGGAAUAUUGCACAAUGGGCGCAAGCCUGAUGCAGCCAUGCCGCGUGUAUGAAGAAGGCCUUCGGGUUGUAAAGUACUUUCAGCGGGGAGGAAGGCAAUACGGUUAAUAACCGUGUUGAUUGACGUUACCCGCAGAAGAAGCACCGGCUAACUCCGUGCCAGCAGCCGCGGUAAUACGGAGGGUGCAAGCGUUAAUCGGAAUUACUGGGCGUAAAGCGCACGCAGGCGGUCUGUCAAGUCGGAUGUGAAAUCCCCGGGCUCAACCUGGGAACUGCAUUCGAAACUGGCAGGCUUGAGUCUUGUAGAGGGGGGUAGAAUUCCAGGUGUAGCGGUGAAAUGCGUAGAGAUCUGGAGGAAUACCGGUGGCGAAGACGGCAUACG
rnacentral:rRNA from 1 species